CUAUCUGUUUGUUCAUCUGUCCUCCCUGGCAUGCAGUUUACCCUAGUAGAGACUGCCUUGUUGCAGCAAAUUAGUGUUAACUGGGAGGAGGAGGCCACUCAUACAGACUGACUUGGCUUUGGCAGCUCCAAGCAGGAACUAAACUGAGACUGAGGGGGAUAUCCAUUCCACGGGCAAAGAGGAGGAACAGGCUCUCACUUUCUCAAAUUAUUCAAACUUGCUACAUCUGAAGACUAGGAUGGCCAGUUGUGGGUCGUGUUUCUGGAGCAUCGUGUGGCUGGUGAUUUUGCUGAUCAUAGCCUGGCCAGUCAGUAUUUUGCUGGGGGGGCUUUACGGCCUCAUCACCCCCCUCACCACCUGUGUGGGCCUGGACCGCCUGUCAGACUUGCUUCUGGAGGGGGCCAACCUGGGUCGGACCUGCGCCCAGAACAUGAGACACAGCAAGGCAGUGUGUUGAGACCAGACUGGACCAGAUGCUGGUCCUGGAAGUGACUGCCGGUUCUCAUCCUGUCGCAAGAGGAAUAGUCAGUGUAACAGUUACUGUUCACGCCAAAGGCCAUUGUGUUGUUUGUCUUGUCACGCUAUUGAGGUGUUAAUAUCUCACACUCCAAAGUCAGCCAGACACUAGGAAAACUUGCACUUACCAAACUUUUAACAAAAUAAUUAUGCUCACUCAAUCAAUGUGUCAUUAACAAUAGAUGUUAUUUUUUGUUUGGGUUGGUCUACUCUACAACUUGAAAUACAAAUACUUUGUAUUCAUAACCUGUAUUUGCUGUUUUUAAUUCAGAAUGACCCCCUGCACAGGGCAGAUAAGAAUGUUCAACAGCUUAACUUUAACAAUAUGACUUCAUUUUUUAUGAUUUAAACUUAAUGCAAUUAAAUUAUUUUUGAACUUGCCUAA